GUAGGUGGCAAGCGUUGUCCGGAAUUAUUGGGCGUAAAGCGCGCGCAGGCGGUCCUUUAAGUCUGAUGUGAAAGCCCACGGCUCAACCGUGGAGGGUCAUUGGAAACUGGAGGACUUGAGUACAGAAGAGGAAAGCGGAAUUCCAAGUGUAGCGGUGAAAUGCGUAGAGAUUUGGAGGAACACCAGUGGCGAAGGCGGCUUUCUGGUCUGUAACUGACGCUGAGGCGCGAAAGCGUGGGGAGCAAACAGGAUUAGAUACCCUGGUAGUCCACGCCGUAAACGAUGAGUGCUAAGUGUUAGGGGGGUUUCCGCCCCCCUUAGUGCUGCAGCUAACGCAUUAAGCACUCCGCCUGGGAGUACGGCCGCAAGGCUG
rnacentral:rRNA from 1 species